UACGGAGGAUCCGAGCGUUAUCCGGAUUUAUUGGGUUUAAAGGGUGCGCAGGCGGGUAUAUAAGUCAGAGGUGAAAUUCCACGGCUCAACUGUGGGACUGCCUUUGAUACUGCAUAUCUAGAGUAUAUUUGGAGUGGGCGGAAUGUAGCAUGUAGCGGUGAAAUGCUUAGAUAUGCUACAGAACACCGAUCGUGAAGACAGCUCACUAAACUAUAACUGACGCUCAGGCACGAAAGCGUGGGGAGCAAACAGG
rnacentral:rRNA from 2 species